rnacentral:rRNA from 1 species
UACGAAGGGGGCUAGCGUUGCUCGGAAUCACUGGGCGUAAAGCGCACGUAGGCGGCUUACUAAGUCAGGGGUGAAAUCCUGGAGCUCAACUCCAGAACUGCCUUUGAUACUGGUGAGCUUGAGUCCGGAAGAGGUGAGUGGAACUGCGAGUGUAGAGGUGAAAUUCGUAGAUAUUCGCAAGAACACCAGUGGCGAAGGCGGCUCACUGGCCCGAGACUGACGCUGAGGCGCGAAAAGCGUGGGGAGCAAACAGGG